GAUGAACGCUGGCGGCGUGCCUAGUACAUGCAAGUCGAGCGAAUGGAUUAAGAGCUUGCUCUUAUGAAGUUAGCGGCGGACGGGUGAGUAACACGUGGGUAACCUGCCCAUAAGACUGGGAUAACUCCGGGAAACCGGGGCUAAUACCGGAUAACAUUUUGAACCGCAUGGUUCGAAAUUGAAAGGCGGCUUCGGCUGUCACUUAUGGAUGGACCCGCGUCGCAUUAGCUAGUGGGGGAGGUAACGGCUCACCAAGGCAACGAUGCGUAGCCGACCUGAGAGGGUGAUCGGCCACACUGGGACGGAGACACGGCCCAGACUCCUACGGGAGGCAGCAGUAGGGAAUCUUCCGCAAUGGACGAAAGUCUGACGGAGCAACGCCGCGUGAGUGAUGAAGGCUUUCGGGUCGUAAAACUCUGUUGUUAGGGAAGAACAAGUGCUAGUUGAAUAAGCUGGCACCUUGACGGUACCUAACCAGAAAGCCACGGCUAACUACGUGCCAGCAGCCGCCGUAA
rnacentral:rRNA from 1 species